UUUAAAGAUAAGACAUAGCACUUUUUAUUACAUAGUAUCACAAUAGACCGAGUUCAAAGAGAAAUCAGAAAUACUCGUGAUCCUCACCAACAUCAUCAUCUGAAUUAUGAAUUCAUUGUUACAUUUUAGCAGGACACAUUAAGACAGUUGCCAUCCACACUGAAGGACUGCAUUUGUUUACAAUAAGUCUACCUAUUUGUAAACUGUUUGUAUGCCAGGAAAUAAUAAGCUUCUUAUUUGCCUUUGACACCAACGUGUUAAAGCAAAAAUGCACAAACAAACAUGUAAAAUCAAAUAAAAGUCUUUGUCCUGAAUCCGAUAAGAUCCCUGUAGAGACUGUGAAUCGGUUGGUGAUGGAGUGUAAAUUGCCUCAUUUUGUUUCCCCUCUAAACACAUUGUGUAAACAAUUGGGUGUCCUACACCUGGCUGUGUGCUGUGACAUGAGACACAUCUGCUCGAGACUGUGUGUUGGUUGGAGUUCAGGUUUUGUGUUCAUCCUUUAUCAAAUCUCAGAGAGUGGGCGGCAGCAGAAGUAUUUUGGGACACCAGAGGCAUCCAGCUGCUCACAUAGACUAAUUGCAAAACCCCUCUUGAAGCAACGUCUCCGUGUUUCAAAUCGGUUGAGUGUUGACAUUGUAAAAACAUCCUUGUCUGUCUGAUCUUAAACAACCACAUUUCAUCGUGUGAGUGUUGACCUUUUUUCAUCCAACGUUAUAAACUAUGACUCAGGGGUAAACCUACAAAACACUUGGAGAUAAGGCAAUGCAAAGACUUUGGGAGUGAAGGAAAAAUGUGUACUUUUCCCAAUUUCAGGUCCAUGCUGUUGCCCAGUAGCGAAUGCUCUGAAAACAAAUUCCAUCUUUGCAGCUGGUCGCAUUUUGUAUUUAAAGCCAAUUGAUUAACAAAAAAAGUUUGUUAAUAGCUUUGCGCCCUGUACACAUGUACAGUAAGCGUAUAACAUUCACAUACACAAACCCACACACACACUCACGCAAGCAGGCAUGUGCACACAGACACACACUCACACGCACACACACAAACACACGUGCGCACGCCCACAUACACACCAAUGAACACGCACACACACAUGCUCAUACAAACAUUUUCUGUGACAUGUUAUGAUAUACAUGACCCAGACACAUGAUGCAUAUAUACUGUACCUCUCGUGCACAUACUCUUAAAUACACAGACACAAACACACAUUCUCAAACAUACAGACACACACACGGCAAGCACACUGCUCUCUUCUCAGUGGGCCCCCGAGGUGGCCCCCCCCCUGAGAGGCUCUCAGCCUAGGAUGUCCAGGUAGACGGGCGAGGCCUUGGCCAGGUUGAGGAGCAGCAAGUGGAUCUCCUUGAUGUUGAGUCUCGUGUGGGGCUCUCUCUGCCAGCAGCCCAGCAUCAGGUCGUACACC
ensembl:lncRNA